UACGGGGGGGCAAGCGUUGUUCGGAAUUACUGGCGUAAAGGGCUCGUAGGCGGCCAACUAAGUCAGACGUGAAAUCCCUCGGCUUAACCGGGGAACUGCGUCUGAGUACUGGAUGGCUUGAGUUCGGGAGAGGGAGUGCGGAAUUCCAGGUGUAGCGGUGGAAAUGCGUAGAUAUCUGGAGGAACACCGGUGGCGAAGGCGGCAUCCUGGACCGACACUGACGCUGAGGAGCGAAAGCGUGGGGAGCGAAGAGG
rnacentral:rRNA from 1 species